rnacentral:rRNA from 1 species
AUUGAACGCUAGCGGGAUGCCUUACACAUGCAAGUCGAACGGAGUGGCGAACGGGUGAGUAAUGUAUCGGAACGUGCCCAGUAGCGGGGGAUAACUACGCGAAAGCGUAGCUAAUACCGCAUACUAUUGGAGCGGCCGAUAUCGGAUUAGCUAGUUGGUGGGGUAACGGCUCACCAAGGCGACGAUCCGUAGCCGGUUUGAGGGGACGACCAGCCACACCGGGUACUAGACACGGCCCCGACCCCUACGGAAGGCGCCGUGGGGGAAUUUUGGACAUUGGGGAAACCCUGAAUCAGCCAUCCCGCGUGUGCGAUGAAGGCCUUCGGGUUGUAAAGCACUUUUGGCAGGAAAGCGGUACCUGCAGAAUAAGCACCGGCUAACUACGUGCCAGCAGCCGCGGUAAUUC